rnacentral:rRNA from 1 species
CCUACGGGACGCAGCAGUCGAGAAUCAUUCACAAUGGGGGAAACCCUGAUGCUGCGACGCCGCGUGGGGGAAUGAAGGUCUUCGUAUUGUAAACCCCUGUCAUGUGGGAGCAAAUUAAAAAGAUAGUACCACAGGAGGAAGAGACGGCUAACUCUGUGCCAGCAGCCGCGGUAAUACAGAGGUCUCAAGCGUUGUUCGGAAUCACUGGGCGUAAAGCGUGCGUAGGCUGUUUCGUAAGUCGUGUGUGAAAGGCGAGGGCUCAACCCGCGGACGGCACAUGAUACUGCGAGACUAGAGUAAUGGAGGGGGAAGCGGAAUGCUCGGUGUAGCAGUGAAAUGCGUAGAUAUCGAGAGGAACACUCGUGGCGAAGGCGGGUUCCUGGACAUUAACUGACGCUGAGGCACGAAGGCCAGGGGAGCGAAAGGGAUUAGAGACCCCUGUAGUC